rnacentral:misc_RNA from 1 species
UCCGGCUUGUCACCGGCAGUUUCCUUAGAGUUCUCGACAUAACUCGUUAGCAACUAAGGAUGAGGGUUGCGCUCGUUGCGGGACUUAACCCAACAUCUCACGACACGAGCUGACGACAGCCAUGCAACACCUGUCUCUUAUCCAGCCGAACUGAAGGAUCUCCAUUACAAGACCCGCGAUAAGGAUGUCAAGGGUUGGUAAGGUUUUUCGCGUAGCAUCGAAUUAAACCACAUGCUCCACCGCUUGUGCGGGUCCCCGUCAAUUCCUUUGAGUUUUAAUCUUGCGACCGUACUCCCCAGGCGGAGUGCUUAACGUGUUAACUGUGUCACUGAGUAAAAACCCAACGACUAGCACUCAUCGUUUACGGCGUGGACUAC